GAAAUGCGAUAAGUAAUGUGAAUUGCAGAAUUCAGUGAAUCGUCGAAUCUUUGAACGCACAUUGCGCUCCCUGGUAUUCCGGAGAGCAUGCCUGUUUGAGAAUCAGUAAAUCUUCAAAGUAAAUCUUUUGUUAACUCAAUUGGUUUCUACUUUGGUAUUGGAGGUCUUUGCAGCUUCACACCUGCUCCUCUUUGUUCAUUAGCUGGAUCUCAGUGUUAUGCUUGGUUCCACUCGGCGUGAUAAGUUAUCUAUCGCUGAGGACACUGUAAAAGGUGGCCAAGGUAAAUGCAGAUGAACCGCUUCUAAUAGUCCAUUGACUUGGACAAUACUUUUAUGAUCUGAUCUCAAAUCAGGUAGGACUACCCGCUGAACUUAAGC
rnacentral:misc_RNA from 1 species